rnacentral:rRNA from 1 species
GACGAACGCUGGCGGCGUGCCUAACACAUGCAAGUUGAGCGACGAACCAGGGCUUGCCCUGGGGCAAAGCAGCGAACGGGUGAGUAACACGUGGGUAACUUACCCCGAUAACCGGGACAACCCGAGGAAACUCGGGCUAAUACCGGAUGUGCUCACUGGAAUUCGGUUCAGUGCGUAAAGGAAGCUUCGGCCUCCGUAUCGGGAGGGGCCCGCGGCCCAUUAGUUUGUUGGUGAGGUAACGGCUCACCAAGACCGCGAUGGGUAGCUGGUCUGAGAGGACGAUCAGCCACACUGGGACUGAGACACGGCCCAGACUCCUACGGGAGGCAGCAGUGGGGAAUCUUGCGCAAUGCGCGAAAGCGUGACGCAGCAACGCCGCGUGGGGGAAGAAGGCCUUCGGGUUGUAAACCCCUUUCAGGAGGGACGAAGGUUCGGCGGUGAAUAGCCGUCCGGACUGACGGUACCUCCACAAGAAGCCCCGGCUAACUACGUG